rnacentral:rRNA from 1 species
UACAGAGGUCCCGAGCGUUGUUCGGAUUCACUGGGCGUAAAGGGUGCGUAGGUGGUGAGGUAAGUCGGAUGUGAAAGCUCGGAGCUCAACUCCGAAAUGGCAUUGGAAACUACCUUGCUAGAGGGUUGGAGGGGGGACUGGAAUGCUUGGUGUAGCAGUGAAAUGCGUAGAUAUCAAGCGGAACACCAGUGGCGAAGGCAGCACGUUGGCGCUCGAUUGACGCUCAGGCACGAAAGCAUGGGGAUCAAACAGG